rnacentral:rRNA from 1 species
UACGAAGGGGGCUAGCGUUGCUCGGAAUUACUGGGCGUAAAGCGCGCGCAGGCGGCUAUCCAAGUCAGUGGUGAAAGCCCGGAGCUCAACUCCGGAACUGCCAUUGAAACUGUUUAGCUUGAGGAUGAGAGAGGUGAGUGGAAUUCCCAGUGUAGAGGUGAAAAUUCGUAGAUAUCGGGAGGAACACCAGUGGCGAAGGCGGCGACCUGGGCCAAUACUGACGCUGAGGUGCGAAAGCGAUGGGGAGCAAACAGGG